CAGUAGCCGCGGUAAUACGGAGGGGGCUAGCGUUGUUCGGAAUUACUGGGCGUAAAGCGCACGUAGGCGGCUUUGUAAGUUAGAGGUGAAAGCCCGGAGCUCAACUCCGGAAUUGCCUUUAAGACUGCAGAGCUAGCAGGUGAGAGAGGUGAGUGGAAUUCCGAGUGUAGAGGUGAAAUUCGUAGAUAUUCGGAAGAACACCAGUGGCGAAGGCGGCAACCUGGCUCAUUACUGACGCUGAGGCGCGAAAGCGUGGGGAGCAAACAGGAUUAGAUACCCGCGUAGUCCCUGUCUCUUAUAC
rnacentral:rRNA from 1 species